UAGUCCAGUACAUGUCACCGUGAACGUAACUGAGUUUUCACAAGAUAAUUUGUUAUUGGCCUACGCUGUUCUGUAUCUUGUGUACCAAUCUUUGGCUCUCAUUUAAUUAUUUACUUAUGACUAUUUUUGGUUUAGUUAUCCCCGGAAUAUAUAUUCAAUGCAGUUUCUCGGAGGAUUUUGAAAAAGUAUGGAUGACCAGGAUGAGGAAUCGGAAUGACACGAAACACUGAAACUGUGCUGCGCAAAUUUGCCGCUGUGUGGUGAGACCAGACGAUACAGCCCGCAAAGUGAAAAUCAACAUCCCACUGCCAACACAGGGAAGAGCUCGUGUUCGAGAUCAUCCAAUGGCAUAUGCCGCUGGCGGUGGCCCUCUCCGUGUGUGGAGGGGGAGCGGGACCGGGGACUGCACAGUAUGGCGGCGGGGGCGCGCUCCCCCUGGGAAGACGGCCUCCGGGAAGAAGCUGACGGCGGAACACCUGCGCAAGCGCAACGCCAGAUCGACGAGAUCAUCCAGCGCAGUCUGCCGGUGGCGGUGGCCACCAGCAGUGGCAGCAGAGUCGAUCGGGGCUUCGCCUGUCAAUACCGAUUACCGACUACCGUCGGCCUCACAGACCGAACACCUCGCAGUGUUUACGGCGCGGCAUCUGCCAUUCAUCGUCCAGCUUGUGCUUUGGACUCUAAUCUUGAACCGGUUUAUGCACCUCACAACAUGGCAAGCAACAUUGUAGAACGCCGUCAGCUGCUCGCAGGAAGCGCCACGGGUUGAAGCUGAAAGCGCUAGAGGACCGCAUUCCCGUUCCCCCCGGCAAGCGGUACGUGGGAUGGUACAAAUGUUCCUAUCCAAGUACGUUAUUAAGGUCACCUGCGUGAGACGUUGCUGGCCAGUUGGCCGUGCGGCUGGCCCAGGAGGUGACACAUUCGGUGCUUUCGGUUCGCACACUACCAUUGUCCUGUGCUUUCGCAGUGAUGCUCCGUGGUGACUCGGCAGUGCUUCCGGCGGAGCGACGCCAUCUCGCGAAUCCGUGCGUCUGACGAAGCACGUGCUGUGCCGAUAUGUCUGCUUCUGUAAUCUGUAAAUGUGCUUUUCGCUUCAUUAUUUACGGCAGAAAUUAAAGUAAACAAAACUGUUACGACUUGAUGUGGCGGCAUAAUACAUUCAUUAUGAACCGCCACUGAGGGCGCAAACAACCAACUGAUUGUUGUCAACAGGACAACAAGGGCAUGCUGCUAUCGCAGUUGUCAUGCAGUCGGACAAAACACACAGGUCACUAAAGGACAGCACAUUCUCGUGACGUCAGUGCCACUGCACUACGCCACAAAACAAUCAACCAGUUGGUAGACGGCCCUUCUCGCCACCCUUUGCCCAACUUUGUCGGCGGACGGCUCCUGGAAGUCCUUUUGCGUUUGCGGUUGUUUCUUGCCAAUGCCGAAUUAAUUGUUUUUGUGCUGGUGUUGAAAAAUGCUCUUAAGCACUUUGUAUGUAUACAACUAAUGCAGAUAGUCGCAAAGAGGGUGAGCACUAGGCAGUUUUCUUUUGUGCUAUCCCGUGAAUGUGAAAACGCUCUUUGACUUCUCGAGACGAUCGGGCUUUCUCUAACUGUUUGUAAAUACCCGAACCGAAAAAUGAUAAAAACAGUGGGACAGAAGUCACAGAAAAUCCAAUAUGAAACCGGGCCACAGAAUUUCUGCAACAGCGGAUCAGCGGCGAAAUCUAACGAUGGAAUGCGGCAUCUAGCCCGGGAACGGCUGACGACUUUGUCACACGUCUGCAAAGCGCACGCACAUUGAUGAUUCUCCUGCUACAUACCAAUCCAAUCAGAACAAGCAUAAUAAAACGGCCUGCGCUGAAAGUCUGAGUCUGAUUCUGAAUGCUAAAAGUAUGAGUCUGAAUAUUAAAAGUCUGAUUCUGAUUCCUGGAACUCUGAAUCUGAAUACCAAACUCUGAAUCUAAAUAAUAAGACACCUGGAUCUGGCAGGUGACGACGCGAGUCUCUAAUUAAAAUUAU